UGAGAAGCUGCGAAGAUGGCGGAGUAAGGCGUGCCGCUGCAAACUGGCCUCUGGGCCGGGGGCGAGCAGCCCCCGGGAGGCCGAGUGCAUCUGUUGGACCGUGCGAGGAGAAGAAAAAAAAUAUCGGCCAGAGGAGAGGAACUAACCGAACAUUCUUCCUCCCUACCUUAUAGAGGGGAGUGGUCAUCUACACUAAAGCAAAGUGUUAGGCGCGUCCGUGCGAAGAGACCACCAAACAGGCUUUGUGUUCCUUAUCACAGGAAGAAAAUUUUCCUUGACCUUUAGGUGCUUUUAUAUUCAUCUCAAAAACAAAAUUCUGAACUCAGGACUUGGCAAAGACGGGGUUUCACCAUGUUGGCCAGGCUGGUCUUGAACUCCGGACCUGGUGAUCCACCCACUUCGGCUUCCCGAAGUGCUGGGUUUACAGAUGUGUCUCUAUGUUGUCUCCUAGAGUGGGUAGUCCUGCUUCUUUUACCCAGUUACUUUCCCGUUUUUGAAAUGUGGCUAUCACUUCUCUACACAUUACCUCCAUGAUUUGGAAUGGAAAAGGCCACUUUUCUUUUUGUUCUGCCUCUCAAAUUCAACACAGAGGAGCUCCUAGGAUUCCAGUUAUCCUGCUAACAUCUCCAGGAAGAAAGAAGCAACUCACAUGGGUCUUUUGCUGUUUGCUUAAUUAUAAAGACAUCAUUUUGCAAGCAGAAGGCUGAGUUUCAUUUGAAACAGGUGCUUAGGUGGUGGUAUUUGUGAAUACUUUUCAUUCCAAGCAAGAAGACUAAAGAAGUAGCAAGUAUGAAUGACUUCAGGGUUUAAAAAAAAUGUCUUCCAGUUUCAGCCACUACCAUGAUAAGCACAGUUGAGACUGCAGCAGUAAAUUCCAAAUAUGUGUUUCUAAUUUGACGUGAAAGAUACUAAAAAUUUAUAUUUGUAUAUUUAAAUCCUGGCUCAUCCUGUGACAUAGAUUUACUGAAUAGGAACAAAGGCCCAAUUUUAAACAAAAACCUAGGCCGGGUGUGGUGGCUCACACCUGUAAUCCCAACACUUUGGGAGGCCAAGGCAGGCAAAUCACCUGAGGUUGGGAGUUUGAGACCAGCCUGACCAACAUGGAGAAACCCCAUCUCUACUAAAAAUAGAAAAUUAGCCAGGUGUGGUGGUAGAUACGUGUAAUCCCAGCUACUCGUGAGGCUGAGGCAGGAGAAUUGCUUGAAUCCGGGAGGCGGAGGUUGCAGUGAACUGAGAUUGCACCACUGCACUCCAGCCUGGGCGACAGAGUGAGACUCCGUCUCAGAAAAAUAAAAAACAACUUUGGACAUAGAGGAGUUGGGGGCAGAGGGGGGAGGAUGAGAGAAUUUUCCAUGUAACUCCUUUUCCUUAAGAAAAAGAAGCAAAAAUCCCUCAUGCAGUGCCAUCUGACUUUAUGGUGUUUCACAUUAUAUAGUUACUUUUUUUAAUAAACGCAUAAGAUUAACUCUUCCUGCAACCCAAGGUGGAUACUUGGAUGUUUGAUUUUUAUUUAUUUAUUUAUUUAUUUUUUGAGGCAGUCUCUCUCUGUUGCCCAGGCUGGAGUGAUGCGUGAUUUCUGCUCACUGCAGUCUCUCCCACCCGGGUUCAAGCGAUUCUCCUGCCUCAGCCUCCCAAGUAGCUAGGAUUACAGGCGCGCACCACCACGCUCAGCCUGAUUUCUAGGCUGAAAAGGCUGGGACUCAGGUACUUUCCCCAGUUGGGACUGAACUUUCUCAUCAGAGAAUGGGCCUCAGAAGCAAUGUUCCCAAACUUGUGGUUGGGUCAUCGUGGAAAAGAAACCUCAAAUAAGAAAAAUAAUUACAAUAAGAAAUGGAUUUUCUUUUUUCCCACAACAGUUAUACAUUAUAAAGAACAGACUGUCGUAGAAAACUGUCUUUGCUUCCAAAUCAGCAGAGGACCAUUGUAUGUAUUGUCAGGUCUUUAUAUAAGAGUGAAACCUUUAUUUAUGCUUCUUGUGAGUAGAG
rnacentral:lncRNA from 1 species